UAUCGAAUUGUUAGAAUAUAUUGUUGCUUUUUCUAUUGUAAGUAGACAUUUUUAAGCGAAAAUUUUUCCGAAAGUUUCGCUUUUCUCUUCGUUUUUCUCUGAGAUAUUCCGAGAGAAUUGCGAUUAGACCUAAAUAAAAUUCAGUAGUGUUAAUUCUGGCACUCCGAAAGUCGAAGCUCAGAACGAAGAAGGGACACGCCGACAGAAGACAAAGAGUUUUUUCUGUGUUUCGCUGUUAAAUUUUGGUAGUUAAAAAUUCAAUUAGCCAAAAUAUUAUCAUGUCAAGUUCUAGUCAGACAUGACAAUCGACAUGUCUGAAAAAUAAAACACAAGAAAUUAACAACU